rnacentral:rRNA from 1 species
CGCCGCGUGAGUGAUGAAGGCUUUCGGAUCGUAAACUCUGUUGUUAGGGAAGAACAAGUGCUAUUUGAAUAGGCUGGCACCUUGACGGUACCUAACCAGAAAGCCACGGCUAACUACGUGCCAGCAGCCGCGGUAAUACGUAGGUGGCAAGCGUUAUCCGGAAUUAUUGGGCGUAAAGGGCGCGCAGGUGGUUUCUUAAGUCUGAUGUGAAAGCCCCCGGCUCAACCGGGGAGGGUCAUUGGAAACUGGGAAACUUGAGUGCAGAAGAGGAAAGUGGAAUUCCAUGUGUAGCGGUGAAAUGCGUAGAGAUAUGGAGGAACACCAGUGGCGAAGGCGACUUUCUGGUCUGUAACUGACACUGAGGCGCGAAAGCGUGGGGAGCAAACAGGAUUAGAUACCCUGGUAGUCCACGCCGUAAACGAUGAGUGCUAAGUGUUAGAGGGUUUCCGCCCUUUAGUGCUGAAGUUAACGCAUUAAGCACUCCGCCUGGGGAGUACGGCCGCA